rnacentral:rRNA from 1 species
AGGGUUUGAUCAUGGCUCAGGAUGAACGCUGGCGGCGUGCUUAACACAUGCAAGUCGAACGAACCUUCGGGUUAGUGGCGGACGGGUGAGUAACGCGUGAGAAUCUGCCCUCAGGAGGGGGAUAACGGUUGGAAACGACCGCUAAUACCCCAUAUGCCUACUGGUGAAAUGAAUUUCGCCUGAGGAUGAGCUCGCGUCUGAUUAGCUAGUUGGUGAGGUAAUGGCUCACCAAGGCUUCGAUCAGUAGCUGGUCUGAGAGGAUGAUCAGCCACACUGGGACUGAGACACGGCCCAGACUCCUACGGGAGGCAGCAGUGGGGAAUUUUCCGCAAUGGGCGAAAGCCUGACGGAGCAACGCCGCGUGAGGGACGAAGGCCUCUGGGCUGUAAACCUCUUUUCUCAAGGAAGAAGAUAUGACGGUACUUGAGGAAUAAGCCACGGCUAAUUCCGUGCCAGCAGCCGCGGUAAUACGGGAGUGGCAAGCGUUAUCCGGAAUUAUUGGGCGUAAAGCGUCCGCAGGCGGCUUUUCAAGUCUGCUGUUAAAACGUGGAGCUUAACUCCAUCAUGGCAGUGGAAACUGAAAAGCUUGAGUAUGGUAGGGGCAGAGGGAAUUCCCGGUGUAGCGGUGAAAUGCGUAGAUAUCGGGAAGAACACCAGUGGCGAAGGCGCUCUGCUGGGCCAUUACUGACGCUCAUGGACGAAAGCCAGGGGAGCGAAAGGGAUUAGAUACCCCUGUAGUCCUGGCCGUAAACGAUGAACACUAGGUGUCGGGGGAAUCGACCCCUUCGGUGUCGUAGCUAACGCGUUAAGUGUUCCGCCUGGGGAGUACGCACGCAAGUGUGAAACUCAAAGGAAUUGACGGGGGCCCGCACAAGCGGUGGAGUAUGUGGUUUAAUUCGAUGCAACGCGAAGAACCUUACCAGGGUUUGACAUCCUGCGAACCUCUUAGAAAUUUGAGGGUGCCUUCGGGAAUGCAGUGACAGGUGGUGCAUGGCUGUCGUCAGCUCGUGUCGUGAGAUGUUGGGUUAAGUCCCGCAACGAGCGCAACCCACGUUUUUAGUUGCCAGCAUUUAGUUGGGCACUCUAGAAAGACCGCCGGUGAUAAACCGGAGGAAGGUGUGGAUGACGUCAAGUCAUCAUGCCCCUUACACCCUGGGCUACACACGUACUACAAUGCCACGGACAAAGGGCAGCAAACUCGCGAGAGCUAGCAAAUCCCAUAAACCGUGGCUCAGUUCAGAUCGUAGGCUGCAACUCGCCUACGUGAAGCAGGAAUCGCUAGUAAUCGCAGGUCAGCAUACUGCGGUGAAUACGUUCCCGGGCCUUGUACACACCGCCCGUCACACCAUGGAAGUUGGCCAUGCCCGAAGUCGUUACUCCAACCCUUGUGGAGGAGGACGCCGAAGGUGGGGCUAAUGACUGGGGUGAAGUCAUAACAAGGUAGCCGUA